GAUGAACGCUGGCGGCGUGCCUAAUACAUGCAAGUCGAGCGAACAGACGAGGAGCUUGCUCCUCUGACGUUAGCGGCGGACGGGUGAGUAACACGUGGAUAACCUACCUAUAAGACUGGGAUAACUUCGGGAAACCGGAGCUAAUACCGGAUAAUAUAUUGAACCGCAUGGUUCAAUAGUGAAAGACGGUUUUGCUGUCUCUUAUAGAUGGAUCCGCGCCGCAUUAGCUGGUUGGUAAGGUAACGGCUUACCAAGGCAACGAUGCGUAGCCGACGUGAGAGGGUGAUCGGCCACACUGGAACUGAGACACGGUCCAGACUCCUACGGGAGGCAGCAGUAGGGAAUCUUCCGCAAUGGGCGAAAGCCUGACGGAGCAACGCCGCGUGAGUGAUGAAGGUCUUCGGAUCGUAAAACUCUGUUAUUAGGGAAGAACAAAUGUGUAAGUAACUAUGCACGUCUUGACGGUACCUAAUCAGAAAGCCACGGCUAACUACGUG
rnacentral:rRNA from 1 species